rnacentral:snoRNA from 15 species
GGUGCAAAUGCUGCACCGUUAGUGACCAAAGCCUGACUUUAGAUGAUUAGUCUUAACUGACUGCACC